ensembl:lincRNA
GUGACCCCCAGGAAGGAGACAUCCAAGGAGCUGCAGUGGAAAGAGCUGUGUUUAUUACUAGUUGCAGCAAGGAAGAGCACACACCAUGGAGAACUGUGGGGCGCCUCAGUCAGAAGGUGUUAGAGAAGACUUAGCAUAGAAAUUGGGCUUGUGUUAGGGGAUUUGGGAGGGUCUGCAGAAGUGGGCUUCAGCUCUUUACUAGAUGCUAUCAGGAAGAUGGGAGGGGGGUUAAUCUUGUGAGUGGGAACUUUAAUCAAUCUUUUGUAGGAAGGAGUCUAGGGCCAGACUAAAGAUCUAAUUGGUAAAAGAGCAGCAGUCCCUUAUUGCCAGUGUCGGGUGCUUGGCUAUUGUUGUAGUUUGGGCAAUGUUCAUAUUUCUCUCUGAUCAGAGAUAGCUCCCUCUUUUCCUGUUUUUGGGUUAGGGGUGAGUGGUAAUAGCCCCACUGUUUCUGGCCCUGGGGCACUGCACUAGCCCACGUAGCUUUUCCCCUCACUGUGACCACACUAUUGCAAACAGCUCCUGAGUGAAAUCCUCCUUGAAUGGUCUAAUGUGAGUGUGUUGUUGAUUCUUGUUGAGACUCUCCCUGAUGCUGGAGGCUCCUACAAAUUUAGACUGAUUUAUCCUUCCACAGCACUGGGUGCUGAUCUUCACUUGGAAAUGAAGGGUUAUGAGGAUGGAGGGAUCCAUCUGGAGUGCAGAUCCACCGGCUGGUACCCCCAGCCCCACGUCCAGUGGAGAGAUGCCAAAGGGGAGGUCAUCCCAGCUGUGGCAGCACCUGUGGUUGCAGACGAAGUGGGCCUGUAUGCAAUGGCAGCGUCAGUGAUCAUGAGAGGAAGCUCCGGGGAGGGGGUAUCCUGUACCAUCAGAAAUUCCCUCCUCCAGCAGGAAAAGACAGCCAGGAUUUCCGUCGCAGACCCCUUCUUCAGGAGCGCCCAACCCUGGAUCGCCGCCCUGGCAGGGAGCCUGCCCAUCUUGCUGCUGCUUCUUGCUGUGGCGGGUUACUUCUUGUGGCGACAACAAGAGGAAAAAAAGACUCUGUUGAGGGAGAAAGAGAGAGAGCAAGAGAUGAGAGAAUUGGCACGGAGUGCAACAGAGCAGGAACAAAACAUAAGAGGUAUCUGGCCCCACGAGGAAAUCUAAGUGCCUGGGUUACAGGCCUGAGCCCAGAGACCUCACCCACAUCCCCACCUUCACACUGGGUGGUUUUUAAGGUUUGUUGUCCAGAAAAUCCUCUCUCCCAUAACACUUCAUUAUGUUUUCUGUUUAUUUUCCAGAGAAACUCACGGAAGAACUCAGUAAGUUACCAUUUCUCCAGACACCUAAGCAUGUCUUCCUAUCCCUGCUUUACGUACCUUGAUGACUCUUCCUUGUUUAUUCCAUUUCAGAGUGGAGAAAAAUCCAGUACAUGGCUCGUGAGUGGCUCUGGCAUUUUCUUUCCAAUUAUCACUUAUGACUCUCUCUGCUUGGAUAUUUUCCAACCCUUAACUCUGCCCAGGCUUGGGGAAUGGCUGUGGUCCCUGUGACAGGGAAAGAAAAUAAGUGUGGGUCAUGGAGAAACCCCCAGAAGGAGAGUAUUUCUCAUUCUCUCUCUCAGAAAAAGGAGGCCUUCAAUUUCCCUCCACUGAGGCCUACAAACUUUUUAGUCCUGAGAGACACUAAGGAAUAUCCAGGGGUGCACUUGAGAAGAAAGGGGGAAGAGGUGGAUGAGGUGCCUUGUCUAUGCCAGGAACCUGACUAAUUGCUUUACAAAAUUGAUAUGCUGUUGAGGAAAUAAGAAAAAUGGGAGAUUAUAAGGAAUGAGAAGAUCAGAAAAGAAGGAGGGAGAAAAGUGUUCCUCAUAUACAGAAGUAGGUACAGUGGCUCAGUUGGUAUAGAUUUAUUGUAACUACUUUCAAAAAUUAGUCCCUGAAAUUUCUCAUUAAGUUUCCCAGAUGAUUUUCAGAAGAAGGUAGGAAAGAAUACAGAUAGAUACAGAUGUAUAUACAUACAUACACACUUACAGACAUGGUGACAGCAAUACCCAAGUAUGGGAAUAUAGAUACAUACUGAAUAGAUCAGCUGGACCACAUCAGGAAGGUAAUAACACACUGCCUGUGGUGUCACUAGUGUGAUAUUCCUGGAUGUGAUAUGAAUGAAGAGAGGGAGGAGAGAAUUGAACAUGCAGAGGGAGAAGGUAGGGAAGAGUGGAGUGGUUAAAAAGAAGAUUAGAUGGAUGUAAAAAGAAGGCAGAAGGGCAGAGUUCACGUGACAUCUCUACCUUUCUUUCAUUGCAGUUGGUGGGAAUUCUCCAGCCUAUCAUGGUGAGUGACACUCAUGUUCUCUGAGUUUCCUGGGACACGUGCCCUGAGUGUUCCAGCCUUUUCUCUACUGUCACCCAUUGACAUUCUCACUUGGAAUAAUCAGAUCUAACUCAAAGGCUCAUUUUCAGUAGGGGCUUCCACUUCUGCUUUUCAGGAGCCUCUGAGAGAAGCCUGAGGCUGCUGGCACUCAUGCACACACCCUAGCAAACCCUGGCCAUGCUUCUGGUAGCCCCUCCUGACAGAGGGAAGGGAGCCCACCAUUUUGUACAAGUUGCCACUCAAGAAAAGGAGAGAGAAAAGACUGAGUGAGAAGAAUGGGAUGGGAAGAAUAGAAAUAUUGACCUUUUUCUUAUCUAUGUCUGCUUCCUUUCAGAAUGGAAAGUGGCCCUCUUCAAGCUGGUGAGUAAAAUCACUGUUGUUCCCUAGGCCAACAGCCUGGAGGACCAGAUCC